AGAUGCGAUCAUACCAACACUAAUGCAUCGGAUCCCAUCAGAACUCCGUAGUUAAGAGUGCUUGGGUGAGAAUAGUACUAAGAUGGGCUUUGCCACAGGAAUUUCACAAACACAGGAA
rnacentral:rRNA from 1 species